UACGUAGGGGGCGAGCGUUGUCCGGAAUUAUUGGGCGUAAAGAGCUCGUAGGCGGUUUGUCGCGUCUGCUGUGAAAACUGGAGGCUCAACCUCCAGCCUGCAGUGGGUACGGGCAGACUCGAGUUCGGUAGGGGAGACUGGAAUUCCUGGUGUAGCGGUGAAAUGCGCAGAUAUCAGGAGGAACACCGGUGGCGAAGGCGGUUCUCUGGGCCGAUACUGACGCUGAGGAGCGAAAGCGUGGGGAGCGAACAGG
rnacentral:rRNA from 1 species